rnacentral:lncRNA from 1 species
UCACGUCACCUCCCCAAAAAUUGUUGAGGCCCUAGCAGCUCGUGACGAAGUUUUCCUAGCCUUGGAGCGGAACGCGCAACAGAUUCUUCUAGGAGAGUGAAGCUCUGCAAGUUACUCAAGCACUGGACAGUGAGCAUAUGGAGGUUAAUUAGGCUGUAGAUGCAAGUAACUGCCAUGAUUUUCAAUUUUAUAACUUUUUUUUUCUUUAUUAUGUAAUUAAAUUUGAAGGUAAAAAGAAGUUUCAAACAAUAUGUCAAUAUGUUUGAACUCAAAAUUACAUCAUCGACCCGUGCAAUCAAGGCCGUUGGGUGGGUAUAGCUCCCAACCGUCAGAUGAAAAGUGAAGAUAAUUUUGCUAUUAUUGAAAGAUAUAUUGUGGUUUUAAUCAUGGCACUAUCUUUUAAUAUAUUUUAGCCCUUCUCUGCAUGGGAUAAUAUUAUAUAACCAGUAGAAGAAUUGCAAUUCAUUUGCAAUUCUUUAAGUCAGCACAUGCAUAUACGUGGAAGGUUGGGAGACUAUUUCCCAUGUAAUUAUGUACCACAAAUUUGUGAUGAUUAUCUCCAAAAAGCAACCAACCACAGCGGUGUACGUGGAUUGGUGGUUAUUUUGAUGGGCAUUAUUUGAUCAAAUCCAAGUACACAGG